GGGUUGUGAGGUUAAGUGACUAAGCGUACACGGUGGAUGCCUAGGCAGUCAGAGGCGAUGAAGGGCGUGCUAAUCUGCGAAAAGCGUCGGUAAGGUGAUAUGAACCGUUACAACCGGCGAUACCCGAAUGGGGAAACCCAGUGUGUUUCGACACACUAUCAUGUCAUGAAUACAUAGUGGCAUGAGGCGAACCGGGGGAACUGAAACAUCUAAGUACCCCGAGGAAAAGAAAUCAACCGAGAUUCCCCCAGUAGCGGCGAGCGAACGGGGAGGAGCCCAGAACCUGAAUCGGCUUGUGUGUUAGUGGAAGCGUCUGGAAAGUCGCGCAGCAAAGGGUGAUAGCCCCGUACACUAAAAUGCACAGGUCGUGAGUUCGAUGAGUAGGGCGGGACACGUGACAUCCUGUCUGAAUAUGGGGGGACCAUCCUCCAAGGCUAAAUACUCCUGACUGACCGAUAGUGAACCAGUACCGUGAGGGAAAGGCGAAAAGAACCCCGGCGAGGGGAGUGAAAUAGAACCUGAAACCGUGUACGUACAAGCAGUGGGAGCACCUUCGUGGUGUGACUGCGUACCUUUUGUAUAAUGGGUCAGCGACUUAUAUUUUGUAGCAAGGUUAACCGUAUAGGGGAGCCGUAGGGAAACCGAGUCUUAACUGGGCGAAUAGUUGCAAGGUAUAGACCCGAAACCCGGUGAUCUAGCCAUGGGCAGGUUGAAGGUUGGGUAACACUAACUGGAGGACCGAACCGACUAAUGUUGAAAAAUUAGCGGAUGACUUGUGGCUGGGGGUGAAAGGCCAAUCAAACCGGGAGAUAGCUGGUUCUCCCCGAAAGCUAUUUAGGUAGCGCCUCGUGAACUCAUCUUCGGGGGUAGAGCACUGUUUCGGCUAGGGGGCCAUCCCGGCUUACCAAACCGAUGCAAACUCCGAAUACCGAAGAAUGUUAUCACGGGAGACACACGGCGGGUGCUAACGUCCGUCGUGAAGAGGGAAACAACCCAGACCGCCAGCUAAGGUCCCAAAGUCAUGGUUAAGUGGGAAACGAUGUGGGAAGGCAUAGACAGCCAGGAUGUUGGCUUAGAAGCAGCCAUCAUUUAAAGAAAGCGUAAUAGCUCACUGGUCGAGUCGGCCUGCGCGGAAGAUGUAACGGGGCUAAACCAUGCACCGAAGCUGCGGCAGCGACGCUUAGGCGUUGUUGGGUAGGGGAGCGUUCUGUAAGCCGUUGAAGGUGGCCUGUGAGGGUUGCUGGAGGUAUCAGAAGUGCGAAUGCUGACAUAAGUAACGAUAAAGCGGGUGAAAAGCCCGCUCGCCGGAAGACCAAGGGUUCCUGUCCAACGUUAAUCGGGGCAGGGUGAGUCGACCCCUAAGGCGAGGCUGAAAAGCGUAGUCGAUGGGAAACAGGUUAAUAUUCCUGUACUUGGUGUUACUGCGAAGGGGGGACGGAGAAGGCUAGGCUAGCCGGGCGACGGUUGUCCCGGUUUAAGCGUGUAGGGGGUGUGACCUGGUAAAUCCGGUUGCAUAUCAACCCUGAGGCGUGAUGACGAUGCACUACGGUGCAGAAGUAGUUGAUGCCCUGCUUCCAGGAAAAGCCUCUAAGCUCCAGGUAACAUUGAAUCGUACCCCAAACCGACACAGGUGGUCAGGUAGAGAAUACCAAGGCGCUUGAGAGAACUCGGGUGAAGGAACUAGGCAAAAUGGUGCCGUAACUUCGGGAGAAGGCACGCUGGCAUGUAGGUGAAGUCCUUCGCGGAUGGAGCUGAAGCCAGUCGAAGAUACCAGCUGGCUGCAACUGUUUAAUAAAAACACAGCACUGUGCAAACACGAAAGUGGACGUAUACGGUGUGACGCCUGCCCGGUGCUGGAAGGUUAAUUGAUGGGGUCAGCCGCAAGGCGAAGCUCUUGAUCGAAGCCCCAGUAAACGGCGGCCGUAACUAUAACGGUCCUAAGGUAGCGAAAUUCCUUGUCGGGUAAGUUCCGACCUGCACGAAUGGCGUAAUGAUGGCCAGGCUGUCUCCACCCGAGACUCAGUGAAAUUGAACUCGCUGUGAAGAUGCAGUGUACCCGCGGCAAGACGGAAAGACCCCGUGAACCUUUACUAUAGCUUGACACUGAACAUUGAGCCUUGAUGUGUAGGAUAGGUGGGAGGCUUUGAAGCGUGGACGCCAGUCUGCGUGGAGCCAUCCUUGAAAUACCACCCUUUAAUGUUUGAUGUUCUAACUCGGCCCCAUAAUCUGGGGUGAGGACAGUGUCUGGUGGGUAGUUUGACUGGGGCGGUCUCCUCCCAAAGAGUAACGGAGGAGCACGAAGGUUAGCUAAUCACGGUCGGACAUCGUGAGGUUAGUGCAAAGGCAUAAGCUAGCUUGACUGCGAGAGUGACGGCUCGAGCAGGUACGAAAGUAGGUCUUAGUGAUCCGGUGGUUCUGAAUGGAAGGGCCAUCGCUCAACGGAUAAAAGGUACUCCGGGGAUAACAGGCUGAUACCGCCCAAGAGUUCAUAUCGACGGCGGUGUUUGGCACCUCGAUGUCGGCUCAUCACAUCCUGGGGCUGAAGUAGGUCCCAAGGGUAUGGCUGUUCGCCAUUUAAAGUGGUACGCGAGCUGGGUUUAGAACGUCGUGAGACAGUUCGGUCCCUAUCUGCCGUGGGCGUUGGAAGAUUGAGAGGGGUUGCUCCUAGUACGAGAGGACCGGAGUGAACGCACCACUGGUGUUCGGGUUGUCAUGCCAAUGGCAUUGCCCGGUAGCUAAGUGCGGAAAAGAUAAGCGCUGAAAGCAUCUAAGCGCGAAACUUGCCUCAAGAUGAGUCUUCCCUGGGCCUUUAAGGUCCCUGAAGGAACGUUUAAGACUAAGACGUUGAUAGGCUGGGUGUGUAAGUGCAGCGAUGCAUUGAGCUAACCAGUACUAAUGAUCCGUGAGGCUUAACCUUACAACACCGAAGGUGUUU
rnacentral:rRNA from 1 species